UGCACAUAAAAACAAAAUAAAUUUAUACGUACUGUAAUAUAGAAAACUGGAGUAUGCAAUUUAAAUUACAAUGACACGUGGGCCCCUAAAUAACUGAGAAGGUUUACGUCUAUAACUUUGCUUUCUAGGAUGCAACUCCGAAAUUUACUUCUCGAUGCAAUUGACAGUCUACUGCCUAUUCUGAGCCUGAAAUAUGUAUAGGAAGAAGGGGUAAGAUUAUAAAAUCCCAAUGAGUAGACAGACAUCAUCAAAAUAAUCUAAAGCCGAGUAAUAGGAGACAAUUAAAAUAAUUCAUCUCAACCCAUAUAAAUAAUUGGAUUUCAUCUAAUUACUCAACAUGGCUUAUGCACUUUUCAAAAACUUGGCUCUUGCCAAAAAUCCAUUCUCGGGGAUACCUCGCGAAAGCAUCUUACCGAGACCGCCAAGGCUGUUUAUUGUCACACACACAAACACAUUUCACCUCUGACAACACAGCCGUUCN
rnacentral:lncRNA from 1 species